AUGGUCUCUUAAGUAAAGUAUCAUUGUGAUUUGAUACUUUGUUGUUAUUGGGUAUUAACUGCAGAAGGCCCAAUCUUUGUGCUUCACUUCCCGUUUUGCAAUCUGCAGCCUGAUACGAGAAAAUGCCCGCAUUUCAAUUUCUGCACUUAUCAUAUUCUUUUCUCUUUCAAGCACAGAGCAAAUCAAACGAGAAAACUAAUUCAUCGAUCUUCUUUGUUUCUCGUUUGUGAGUUCUUGGUGGAAGAAAAGGUGGGAGAUGAAGCGGAAUCAAAGAUGGUAAAAGAAUAAGAAGAAUUUGAGGCGAACAUUGCUGGGUCCGAAGAAAUGGAACUCAAUAUCUCUCUUAUUCUUGAGAAGAUUGAGAAUUAUACUCAAAGGGAUACACAAGCAUCAAGUCAGAAAAUGGCAGGAAGAAAUCAGAGAAUUGCGUGCACUUGAUGCUUCAAAUGAGGAAGCCGAUGCUCUUCUGCAUAAUGCUCGAUAUCUUCUUCAGCCCAUUCUUGAUGUCUAUAAAUUCUGUUGGAUUUGGCUGCCGGUGUGGUGAGGUGAGAAGCAAUAAAAAGAAAACAAAAGUGGAACAAGUAAUUAUGUUCUUCAGAUAAGGCUUUCUCUUAAGGUGAACUAACUUUUGAGGUAUCAUCUUAGGGGUGGAAAUCUAAAGGUGACUUGAAGCCAUGUGCAAUUUUCAUUUAUUUGAGUUGUAACUUUUACUUGUUAUGCUUAUUGUAAUCUUGGCCUAAUUAGGUGUCUUGGAGGAGCCUUUGGUGUUCAAUCCCAUCUUCUAAUUAGAACCUUA